rnacentral:lncRNA from 1 species
AUAGCUAACCUCCAGCCUUCAUGAAGAGCCCAUGGCAACUCUGUGGGAAUCCUUCCAGCAGCCCGCUUAUGGCUGGAGACAGAGGUGUGGCUUCUAUCUAAGCUUUUCCCUCUGACUCAGUCCAGGAGGCAACUGUCUUGGGAAGCAAAUGAUAACAGCAUCUGGGAGAUUCUCUUCUGGAUGGACUAGCAGGGAAUCAGGACAUGAACUCAGUGGACUAACUGCACCGAGACUCACCUGGUCAUUACUUGAAGGUCAUUACUUAAACCUCCAUGAAUCUCCUGAUGAACUCCCUCAGAAGGUGGAAGGAGCACCUGACACCGACCCGAGAUCAGCAGCAGCUACGCCCACGCUGUGGGCAGUUAAGAGGCAGCCAGUGGUACCAGUCGUGAGCGAUCAGAUUUGAGGACUCAGGAUUCUGGUUUCCUGAGUGUCAUGGACCUGCGGGCUGCAGAAAUGACAGCGACAGGUCUUCAGGCAGGUGCCACAGCACCCACACACUGCCAGCAUUUUGUGCAAAAUACCCAAAGCCACAUCACCAGAUCUGGGCUCUCCUAGCUUCCCUUUGCUAAAAUGCUGGCCAAAGAGCUUAACGAGCCACUCAGGGGCACAAGAUAGGUGAAACCUGCAUGUUUUGUUUGUUAAACUAUUUGCCACAUGGCACAAGAAAAUAACAAAAAAUAAACAAAAGGAAUAACUGCAGCAUCAUGGUUUUGUUAAGAUGUCCCAAAGCUGAUCAGGGCUUCCUGUUGAAAUCUAAAUGAGACUCUUCCUAGGUGGCUUACAUUCAGUCAGCUGUGGCUCUGUGCAAAGAAAACCAGUUUCCCUUGCUCAGAAAUUUGGAGCCACUGAUAAGAGAAGAAAAGUGUGAUUCCACAUGGAGGGUCAUGAUACAAUCUGAUCUCUGACCCCGUGGAGGUGAAGGGGCUUGUUCUGCAUGCCAGGCUGAGGACUCUCGGGACUGAGGCAUUCAGAGUCGCAGCUUUAAAUCAUAAGGGUUCCCUGCCCAUUUCAUCACAAGUCAGCAGCAUCCAAAGAGUGGCGUUGAAGAAAAUCUCAUCACCGUGGGCUCAGUUUAGAUUGCUAGUCGGCUCAGAAAGCUACCUGCAAUUGCGUUUCCAGGAUGCACCACAAAUACUCUCCACAUGAGGGAGAACAUCAGUGGAUGAAACUCAGCAUGCUUAGUGCGGGGCCAAGUCCUCUAACAAAGGACACAGCGGUUAACCUGCAUUUCGAGGACAGGCACUGUCAAGCCCUCAUCAGGGAUCCAUCCAGAGAACUUUGGUAAUUCUUGCAAAAUCCCUGUAUCACACAAUUUCCUUCCUUAAUGUGAUGAAGUGUAACGGACACAUCUAUAAAGCUUCUUCAGUCCUGCAAUGCAUAGAUGAGCAGAAGGCCACAAAGCCAGGUUGGUUGCAGGGACGGGGCAGCAGGCAAGGCAUGGUCACUGUGGAAAGUGACGGAGGCCACUUUUAACAGGUCAUAGCACUCUCUACCAUCAGAAUGGAGCCUGCCUGAAUGUGAGCUCAGUGAGAGGCAGAUUCCAUUCUUGGGCCCGUCCACGGUGACUUGUCUGCUCUGCUCCAUCAUCCACUUAUUCACAAGUUCUGGGGCAACAAAGGGCACGUUUUGUUUCAUCUUGUGCCAAACCCUCGAUGUGUACUCACUCACUCUACCUCAUCUCAAGAACUUCAGGGCUGGGAGUGCAUUUGGAGAGAAGGCAUGUGCAAUAUCUGGAAGCCUUAGCACAGGUGGGUUAUACUGAUGCUCUAUAGCCAAACUAUAGGAACUUGGGUUCUAAGGCCAGCAGGCCCAGGUGUCACCCCAAUGGCUCCCUUCAACAGCAGCAUAAAUAAGUCAUGUCAGAAGAACUCACAUUAGCCAUCUCCAGGACUCAUUUCCCUCUCAACAGCAGGAGCUCCUGCAGUCAGAACAGCGGUAAUUUUCAAAUCAGGCAUGUGGUGAUGCAGCAGGAAAGUGCCUGCAUCCCAGGUGUCCCAGCAGCUUUCUGGAGACCUCUAAUACCCACAUCUGCACCACAAAACUGCACAGCAUUGAGUGAUACCAAUCUUCUUAUACAUAUAGGUAAGUGGUAAUAGAAUGCCUCAACAGCAGACCACCCAGGAACCAAAGACAUACUGGAUUUUCAAGUCAGAAGAAUGCUUAGAGAUCAUCUGACCCAAUAGCCAUAUUUUACAGUAAGAUGCAGAAGCCAGUGUCCACAGUGCUAAAGCCACUGGUCCAAGGUGAAAGAAUUUCAAACCCAUAAAUACCUCCAAGAAGCUUCCACUGGGACCCUAUGAUUUUAGUAAAAUUAUCAACAUUCAUGACCUAUGUCUACUGAUCUUAGCGUCUUCUCAGUAGGCAAUUAUUCUUUCUCACAUCAAUUUGCAGUUGCUAUAUUAUCAGCAUCCUUGGUAAAUCCAUCUUGUGUUCUGGGUGAAGACUAACAGAUUCUUCCUUCUUGGACUCUGUCAUUCACUCUCAUCCCUCAUAACAUCUGGCCACUGCUCUAAACACAGUGGCCUUUGAGAAAUGCUGCUGAAUUCUGACUAAGAAAGAGGAGAACUUUCAAAUACAAGAAAGUGAACAUUAUAGAGCUUACCACUCAAGAUGGUUUUCUACAAAUGCGGACAUGGGGCUGAUCUGCACCGUGUAAGUAUCAUUUGCCGAGUACUCAAAGAGUCCAUAGUAAGGGUUGAAGAGCUCCUGAGACAGAAGGAAGAAGAACUCCCGCGAGGGGCCACUGUAGUCCAGGCUGCAAAGAAAGCAGAGGUCCAGGAAGCUCAUUCUGUGCCCGGAGGUGGGGGGACCUGUUUGCACCCAGAUUCUAGUGUGCCCUUUCAGAGUUGGGUGCUGGGGAAAGCAGAGAGCAGCCUCUGCUCUUUGGAGUGAAUGCCAAUGGCAGCAUCAAUUUGCUGUAGAAAAUGAGGAUGCAGUAAUUGGUUUGGAGAUGUUUCUUAACCAGAUGUCCAUGAAUAAACUCUUAUGGCAGCUUUCCUUAGUGUUUUCUUUUGAUCAUCUAACACCUCUGAGCUAAAACACACAGCUGGCCCAUUGAAUACAAGGCCUUUGUUGUGGGACACAUAAAAGAAUUUCCUGCAACAGUGAAUGUGUGCAUGCAUGUGUGUGUG